GACGAACGCUGGCGGCGUGCUUAACACAUGCAAGUCGAACGGAAAGGCCUCUUUCGGGGGGUACUCGAGUGGCGAACGGGUGAGUAACACGUGAGUAACCUGCCCUUGACUUUGGGAUAACUUCGGGAAACUGGGGCUAAUACCGGAUAGGAGCUCCUGCUGCAUGGUGGGGGUUGGAAAGUUUCGGCGGUUGGGGAUGGACUCGCGGCUUAUCAGCUUGUUGGUGGGGUAGUGGCUUACCAAGGCUUUGACGGGUAGCCGGCCUGAGAGGGUGACCGGCCACAUUGGGACUGAGAUACGGCCCAGACUCCUACGGGAGGCAGCAGUGGGGAAUAUUGCACAAUGGGUGGAAGCCUGAUGCAGCAACGCCGUGUGCGGGAUGACGGCCUUCGGGUUGGAAACCGCUUUCGCUCAUGACGAAGCUUUGUGUGACGGUAGUGGGUAAAGAAGCACCGGCUAACUACGUG
rnacentral:rRNA from 1 species